GGUCCAGACUUUGAUUAUGGCUCAGGAUGAACGCUAGCUACAGGCUUAACACAUGCAAGUCGAGGGGCAGCAUGACGAUAGCUUGCUAUUGUUGAUGGCGACCGGCGCACGGGUGAGUAACGCGUAUCCAACCUGCCCUUGUCCAUCGGAUAACCCGUCGAAAGGCGGCCUGACACGAUAUGCAGUCCACAGAAGGCAUCUGACGCGGACGAAUGUGAAGGAGAAGGAUGGGGAUGCGUCUGAUUAGCUUGUUGGCGGGGUAACGGCCCACCAAGGCGACGAUCAGUAGGGGUUCUGAGAGGAAGGUCCCCCACAUUGGAACUGAGACACGGUCCAAACUCCUACGGGAGGCAGCAGUGAGGAAUAUUGGUCAAUGGGCGAGAGCCUGAACCAGCCAAGUAGCGUGCAGGAUGACGGCCCUAUGGGUUGUAAACUGCUUUUAUGCGGGGAUAAAGUGAGCCACGUGUGGCUUAUUGCAGGUACCGCAUGAAUAAGGACCGGCUAAUUCCGUGCCAGCAGCCGCGGUAAUACGGAAGGUCCGGGCGUUAUCCGGAUUUAUUGGGUUUAAAGGGAGCGUAGGCCGUCUGAUAAGCGUGUUGUGAAAUGUCGGGGCUCAACCUGGGCAUUGCAGCGCGAACUGUGAGACUUGAGUGCGCGGGAAGUAGGCGGAAUUCGUCGUGUAGCGGUGAAAUGCUUAGAUAUGACGAAGAACUCCGAUUGCGAAGGCAGCCUGCUGUAGCGCGACUGACGCUGAAGCUCGAAAGCGUGGGUAUCGAACAGGAUUAGAUACCCUGGUAGUCCACGCGGUAAACGAUGGAUGCUCGCUGUUUGCGUCUGACGUAAGCGGCCAAGCGAAAGCGUUAAGCAUCCCACCUGGGGAGUACGCCGGCAACGGUGCAACUCAAAGGAAUUGACGG
rnacentral:rRNA from 1 species